AUAUAUUUUAAAUCUGUUCUUAUCAGUUUAAUAUCUGACACGGUCCCCUAUCUGGGGGACCAUAUAUUAAAUAGAUUUUUUGGAACAGGGAGAUGGAAUAGGGGCUUGCUCCGUCCACUCCACGCUUCGACCUGGUAUUGCAGUACCUCCAGGAACGUGCACACCCC
rnacentral:snRNA from 1 species